rnacentral:rRNA from 1 species
CGGUUGAUCCUGCCGGACCCUACUGCUAUCGGGGUGGGACUAAAACAUGCGAGUCGAGCGCCUCCCAAUUGUGGAGACGCGGCAAACGGCUCAGUAACACGUGGCCAACCUCCCCUUCGGACGGGGAUACUUCCCGGAAACGGGAAAUGAUCCCCGAUCGGAAUGAAGGCCUGGAAUGGCUUCAUUCCGAAAUGACGUUGGAACAUGCUUUCCAACGUCGCCGAAGGAUGGGGCCGCGGCCGAUCAGGUAGUUGGUGAGGUAAAGGCUCACCAAACCUAUAACCGGUACGGGCCGUGAGAGCGGGAGCCCGGAGAUGGGCACUGAGACAAGGGCCCAGGCCCUACGGGGCGCAGCAGUUACGAAAACUCCACAAUGCACGAAAGUGCGAUGGGGCUAACCCGAGUGCCGUCCGCUGAGGACGGCUUUUCUCUGCUGUAAGGAAGCAGAGGAAUAAGGAGAGGGCAAGACUGGUGUCAGCCGCCGCGGUAAUACCAGCUCUCCGAGUGGUAGGGACGAUUAUUGGGCUUAAAGCGUCCGUAGCCGGCUCGACAAGUCUCUCGUUAAAUCCAGCAACUCAAUUGCUGGACUGCGAGAGAUACUGUCGGGCUAGGAGGCGGAAGAGGCCGACGGUAUUCUCGGGGUAGGGGUGAAACCCUAUAAUCCCGAGAGGACCACCAGUGGCGAAGGCUGUCGGCUUGUCCGCGCUCGACGGUGAGGGGCGAAAGCUGGGGGAGCGAACCGGAUUAGAUACCCGGGUAGUCCCAGCUGUAAACGAUGCGGGCUAGGUGUUGGGGUGGCUACGAGCCACUCCAGUGCCGCAGCGAAGGCAUUAAGCCCGCCGCCUGGGAAGUACGGCCGCAAGGCUGAAACUUAAAGGAAUUGGCGGGGGAGCAC